GCACUGGUGAGGGGUCCAAAAAUAGGACGAAACGGCCGUCCAGUAC
rnacentral:hammerhead_ribozyme from 1 species